rnacentral:rRNA from 1 species
AGUGAACGCUGGCGGUAGGCCUAACACAUGCAAGUCGAACGGCAGCACAGUAAGAGCUUGCUCUUACGGGUGGCGAGUGGCGGACGGGUGAGGAAUACAUCGGAAUCUACUUUUUCGUGGGGGAUAACGUAGGGAAACUUACGCUAAUACCGCAUACGACCUACGGGUGAAAGCAGGGGAUCUUCGGACCUUUCGCGAUUGAAUGAGCCGAUGUCGGAUUAGCUAGUUGGCGGGGUAAAGGCCCACCAAGGCGACGAUCCGUAGCUGGUCUGAGAGGAUGAUCAGCCACACUGGAACUGAGACACGGUCCAGACUCCUACGGGAGGCAGCAGUGGGGAAUAUUGGACAAAGGGCGAAAGCCUGAUCCAGCAAUACCGCGUGGGUGAAGAAGGCCUUCGGGUUGUAAAGCCCUUUUGUUGGGAAAGAAAAGCAGCAGGUUAAUCCCCCGCUGUUCUGACGGUACCCAAAGAAUAAGCCACGGCUAACUUCGUG